rnacentral:lncRNA from 1 species
ACGGGAUUACAUAUAAAAUCUAGAGAGAAGCAUUCUCAGGAACUUCUUUGUGAUGUUUGCAUUCAAGUCACAGAAUUGAACAUUCCCUUUCAUAGAGCAGGUUUGAAACACUCUUUUUGUAGUAUCUGGAAGUGGACAUUAGAAGCGCUUUGGCCCUGUGGUGAAAAGGAAAUAUCUUCCCAUAAAAACUAGACAGAAGCAUUCUCAGAAACUUGUUUGUCAUGUAUGUACUCAACUAACAGAGUUGAACCUUUCUUUUGAUAGAGCAGUUUUGAAUCACUCUUUUUGUGGAAUCUUCAAGU